GAGAGGAAGGUCCCCCACAUUGGAACUGAGACACGGUCCAAACUCCUACGGGAGGCAGCAGUGAGGAAUAUUGGUCAAUGGGCGAGAGCCUGAACCAGCCAAGUAGCGUGAAGGAUGACUGCCCUAUGGGUUGUAAACUUCUUUUAUAAAGGAAUAAAGUCGGGUAUGGAUACCCGUUUGCAUGUACUUUAUGAAUAAGGAUCGGCUAACUCCGUGCCAGCAGCCGCGGUAAUACGGAGGAUCCGAGCGUUAUCCGGAUUUAUUGGGUUUAAAGGGAGCGUAGAUGGAUGUUUAAGUCAGUUGUGAAAGUUUGCGGCUCAACCGUAAAAUUGCAGUUGAUACUGGAUAUCUUGAGUGCAGUUGAGGCAGGCGGAAUUCGUGGUGUAGCGGUGAAAUGCUUAGAUAUCACGAAGAACUCCGAUUGCGAAGGCAGCCUGCUAAGCUGCAACUGACAUUGAGGCUCGAAAGUGUGGGUAUCAAACAGGAUUAGAUACCCUGGUAGUCCACACGGUAAACGAUGAAUACUCGCUGUUUGCGAUAUACUGCAA
rnacentral:rRNA from 1 species